CCUACGGGAGGCAGCAGUGGGGAAUAUUGGACAAUGGGGGGAACCCUGAUCCAGCCAUGCCGCGUGUGUGAAGAAGGCCCUCGGGUUGUAAAGCACUUUCAGUGAGGAAGAACGCCUGGUGGUUAAUACCCAUCAGGAAAGACAUCACUCACAGAAGAAGCACCGGCUAACUCCGUGCCAGCAGCCGCGGUAAUACGGAGGGUGCGAGCGUUAAUCGGAAUUACUGGGCGUAAAGCGCGCGUAGGUGGCUUGAUAAGCCGGUUGUGAAAGCCCCGGGCUCAACCUGGGAACGGCAUCCGGAACUGUGAAGCUAGAGUGCAGGAGAGGAAGGUAGAAUUCCCGGUGUAGCGGUGAAAUGCGUAGAGAUCGGGAGGAAUACCAGUGGCGAAGGCGGCCUUCUGGACUGACACUGACACUGAGGUGCGAAAGCGUGGGUAGCAAACAGGAUUAGAUACCCUGGUAGUC
rnacentral:rRNA from 1 species